GGAAAUACAAUCGAACCAAGCACGCGCGUCCGACGGUAAUAAGCCAGAUUCUACUCAGCUUCAGAGGAUGAGUUCUGAAGAUGAUGGAGACCACAACAGAAGGCUUGAUAUUGCUUCACUUCAUUUAAGACAAAUGGAUUAUCUGUGAACAUGUUUGUUGAAACUGGCAAUUAAGUAUGAAUAAUUUCAUGGGGUAAUGCCUCGUAGAUUAAUUGACUAUACAUAAAAUGAAUAUAUAUAUAUACAUGUAUAAGUGUAAAUAUAUAUUCAUUCUCACGUACUGCUGAACUGAAAUUCUUGAGCUGGACCUUUUAACACUGGCCAGCAGAUCUCAUGUUUAUAAUAUGUAAUCAAAAACAUUUUUCUUGCGGUGAGUGGGAAAGCAUUACCCUUGUUUUAAAUAUCUAAGCAAUGCUCAUCAACUUUUUUCUGUGUUACGAUUACUGUAGUCAUAUUUAUGGAAAAAAAUGUUUGUGUAUUAGUCUCUUGCUAGUGAAAAAAAGUCAGAUAAAAUGUACUUUUGAAAUAAAUGCCAGUGGCACCUAAUUAGUUUUCCUCUUUAAAUGCCUUAAGUUACAGCCACAUUUUGAUAAUCAUUUACUUCCAGUGUUUAAAAUUUUUUUAAAAGAAUGGGAAGUUCAAAGAGCAUUAUUAUGUUAGGUUUCCAAAUUUAAUUUGAAUUCUAAAUCCACUUAGCAAUAAAACC
rnacentral:lncRNA from 1 species